rnacentral:tRNA from 1 species
CUCAGGGUAGUAGAAUUAAAUACGUCGGAGUUAAGGCCCGAAAAUGGGUUAUAACCCUCUUGAGA